AUUUCUCUUGUGCACUUUCUGGUGAUACAGUUAUCUAAAAAUAUAGAAAUAUGGUCACGCUUAAAGAAAUAUCAUUGAGAAUAAAAUCCGUAAAAAACAUCCAAAAAAUAACCAAAUCAAUGAAGAUGGUUGCCUCCUCAAAACUCGCCCAAGCCAAAAGAGGUCUUCUUCCAGCAAGAGUUUUAAACGAGUCAGUUGACGAGUUCAACCAAGAAUUAACCUCUUCUAAAGAAACUCAGGAAAAAAUCACCCCCAAAUUUUUUGUUGUUAUGACAUCAGACCGGGGUCUUUGUGGGAGUGUCCACUCCUUGCUUAUAAAAUCCGUUUAUAACCAACUCGCUCAAUAUCCUGCCGAAUCUGUUAAACUUUUUUUGAUCGGAAAUAAAGCGCGACUAGCAAU